AUUUUCUUCAAUUGAAACCUGCAACAUCACACUGAAGAAACCGAAACCCUCCAUCUACGAAAUUGAAACCUUCUUCUCCAUGUUAUUUCACCCAAUACAAUCCAAGCCAAACUCUACAGCGUCUCUCCUUUCCCCGAUUAGUGUUGUGCGCGAUGUGCUCUUAUCUCUUCUCCCUCUGUGGUGGUUGCGCCUGAUUCCGCGGCUCUCUUCUCUCAUCCUCUCCGGCGUGCCCUCGGUGGUUGCCACGUUGUCGAGCUGAGGUGAGCCGCCGUUCAAUUUAGAAGAUCUGGUACCUUCUCUGUCUCUGCCGCCUUCGCUGACUUCAACUUUCAGACCUUGUCUAUUAGCUUUAAACUAAUAGACCCUAAUUUUAUGUGCCACAGGCAUUGAGGAAUCAGAUGCAAGAAGCAGGAUGAAAAAUGCGUCGUUCGCACAGGCAUUGAAGAAUGACAAAGUUGUCUACUUUUUUUGUGGUUGUAACUUACAAGUCAUUGAAUCUUUCUGCUUUCCAGUGUUUUCACAUUGUUGACAUAUAUUUCUUGAUAUUUUGGAAUAAUUGUUACCUGAUUAACAUUCAACAGUUUUCCUUCUGUAUCUUCAGAUGUUGCAGAUGGUAGAAUUUCAUGCACAAGCUGCUACUUCUGCUAAACCUCCUGAAAAAUCGCUAAAAAUUAGAAAGCAGAAAUUGCUUUCUUUCUUGCAAGAACAAUAUGAGUCUGUUUAUGCUAAAUGGACAACCGAAAGAUGUGUUGUAUGUCGAUGGGUUGAGGAUUGGGAUUACAACAAGAUUAUUAUUUGCAAUAGGGUUGGAAGGGUGUUGGAGUUGUUGCUUCAUCACGUAAGCUAAUAGGAGCUACCGAUCCUCUUUAGGCUGAACUUGGAACUAUCAGAGGGGAUCUUAUUGUUCAAACGAGGAGCUGUAUAUUCACUUGCAGGUGUGUGCCUUUUCUAAUUUCUUAUCUGGAAUACAAUUACUUCCACGAAUGUCCAAGAAAUUACUGAACAUGGAAUGCAUACAUAUAUCUUGUGUGGAUAUCUGGAUAAGGAACACUUGAUUAAAUAAAAGAGCUAUACAGAGACAUGCUGCUAGCCCCUAAGUUCUCAAAGGUUACAUCAGGUGGGUGUGGCGCUACGCCAACAGCCUUGUUAAUACUAUCAUUCUCAUCCGCAUCAUCAGCUAAAACUUUAGACUAACAUGGUUCACUAUCUUAAAAUACAUGCUGUAUAGAACAAAAGCAGCAUUCUGCUUUCAAAAUCCUAGAAAUUUGCAGCUUCAUUGUUUUAGAAUAGUUCAUUAGAGUAGUUUAAUUGUUUUGGAAUAGUUUCAUUGUUUAAGGGUAGUUCAUCAGGUAAUUCUAGUAUUUACCCCUUUUCUAAAUUGUUUAGUCUUAAACACAUUUUCCAGCCGAGUAUUUCAAGUAAUUUAAUAGUACCAUUAAUUCUU